rnacentral:rRNA from 1 species
UGGGGAAUAUUGGACAAUGGGCGAAAGCCUGAUCCAGCAAUGCCGCGUGAGUGAUGAAGGCCUUAGGGUCGUAAAGCUCUUUUACCCGGGAUGAUAAUGACAGUACCGGGAGAAUAAGCUCCGGCUAACUCCGUGCCAGCAGCCGCGGUAAUACGGAGGGAGCUAGCGUUGUUCGGAAUUACUGGGCGUAAAGCGUACGUAGGCGGUUAUUCAAGUCAGAGGUGAAAGCCCGGGGCUCAACCCCGGAACUGCCUUUGAAACUAGAUAGCUAGAAUCUUGGAGAGGUCAGUGGAAUUCCGAGUGUAGAGGUGAAAUUCGUAGAUAUUCGGAAGAACACCAGUGGCGAAGGCGACUGACUGGACAAGUAUUGACGCUGAGGUACGAAAGCGUGGGGAGCAAACAGGAUUAGAUACCCAUGUAGUCCCUGAGCGGGCUGGCAAGGCGCAU